rnacentral:rRNA from 1 species
GACGAACGCUGGCGGCGUGCUUAACACAUGCAAGUCGAACGGAAAGGCCCUGCUUUUGUGGGGUGCUCGAGUGGCGAACGGGUGAGUAACACGUGAGUAACCUGCCCUUGACUUUGGGAUAACUUCAGGAAACUGGGGCUAAUACCGGAUAGGAGCUCCUGCUGCAUGGUGGGGGUUGGAAAGUUUCGGCGGUUGGGGAUGGACUCGCGGCUUAUCAGCUUGUUGGUGGGGUAGUGGCUUACCAAGGCUUUGACGGGUAGCCGGCCUGAGAGGGUGACCGGGCACAUUGGGACUGAGGUACGGCCCAGACUGCUACGGGAGGCAGCAGUGGGGAAUAUUGCACAAUGGGCGGAAGCCUGAUGCAGCAACGCCGCGUGCGGGAUGACGGCCUUCGGGUUGUAAACCGCUUUCGCCUGUGACGAAGCGUGAGUGACGGUAAUGGGUAAAGAAGCACCGGCUAACUACGUG